GCGCUUAUGGAUGGGCCUGCGUUCUAUCAGGUUGUUGGUGAGGUAAAGGCUCACCAAGCCUAUGACGGAUAGCUGGUCUGAGAGGACGAUCAGCCAGACUGGGACUGCGACACUGCCCAG
rnacentral:rRNA from 1 species